rnacentral:rRNA from 1 species
ACUCAAAUGAAUUGACGGGGACCCGCACAAGCGGUGGAACAUGAGGUUUAAUUCGAUGCUAAGCGAAGCACCUCACCCAGGCUUGACAUCUCUGGAAAGCCCAUGAAAGUGGGCCGUGCCGUAAGGAACCAGAUGACAGGUGUUGCACGGCUGUCGUCAGCUCGUGCUGUGAAGUGUACGGUUAAGUCCGUCAACGAGCGCAACCCUCGUCGUAUGUUGAAUUUUUCAUACGAGACCGCCGGCGUUAAGUCGGAGGAAGGUGGGGAUGACGUCAAGUCAGCGUGGCCCUUACGCCUGGGGCUACACUCGUGUUACAAUGGGUAGUAACAAUGGGUUGCUAAAGCGUAAGCUGGAGCUAAUCCCAUCAAACCUACCCCCAGUUCGGAUUAGAGGCUGCAACUCGCCUCUAUGAAGUCGGAAUCGCUAGUAACGGCAGGUCAGCUACACUGCCGUGAAUACGUUCUCGGGUCUUGUACACACCGCCCGU